UGGGCUUGGAUUUGGAGGGUUAAAUUGCUGGCUCUUUUUUUUGAUUCAACUCCUCUUGAAUGCAUUACCUUGAACCCUUGGGGAUUGACCUUAUCGGUGUGAUAAUCAUCUAUGCCGUGGUUGUCUGAGGUGGGAUCGGCUUCUAAUGGUGCAAGUCCCUUCAGGGGGAUGAUUUUCUAAUGACCUU
rnacentral:rRNA from 1 species